GGGUAGGGCCCGGGGAAGUUCGGUGGAUCUGGGUCUCUAUUUUCAAGACACCAGGAUCUGUCAUUGAGUGAAAAGAUCAUGGAUACAGACGAACAAGGAGCCCCAGGUAGGAAGCCACUAGACCGUCCACAGACUCCAGAUGAACUGAAAUUUUACGCUCGGAAUUAUGUCAUGCUGGCUCUCUUGGCGAUGAUUCUUUUCCUACCCUUUGGGAUAUUAGCCAUAUACUUCAGCAUCCAGACCAACGAAGCCAAUAAAUGCAGCAACUGGGAAGACGCCUACCGGAACUCAUCUCGAACUAUGUGGUUUAAUAUGUUGGCCAUAGUAGCCUUUGUAGGCAUCAUUUAUAUACUUGUCCUAGUCCUAUGAAAGCUACACAUCAGCAUCUACGGGCUCCUCCCCCAACAGACAUGCUCACUUAGACUUUGACCAGCCAUCAAGAAGAAACUCAGAGCUUCAGAAAUGCCCUUGCCAAGAAACCCACCAACCAAAAAACUCAACAUCCAAAAAACGGCCCCAGGCAGGCCACCUGACUACACUCCACCAGUUCAUUCUCAUUUGUCUUCCACGGCUGUCUAAAAGCAUCUUGGAAGUCCACAUCUCAAGUUCUAAAUCUGCAUAAGCCACUGAGCUGCUCUUUCAUGAAAAAAAAAAAAAUCACAUUUCUGAGCCCAAUAAAAUUGAAGGGAAUAUCCCGGC